rnacentral:rRNA from 1 species
AUUGAACGCUGGCGGCAGGCCUAACACAUGCAAGUCGAGCGAGCGGCGGACGGGUGAGUAAUGUCUGGGGAACUGCCCGAUGGAGGGGGAUAACUACUGGAAACGGUAGCUAAUACCGCAUACUAUCGGAUGAACCCAUAUGGGAUUAGCUGGUAGGUGGGGUAAAGGCUCACCUAGGCGACGAUCCCUAGCUGGUCUGAGAGGAUGAUCAGCCACACUGGGACUGAGACACGGCCCAGACUCCUACGGGAGGCAGCAGUGGGGAAUAGUGCACAAUGGGCGCAAGCCUGAUGCAGCCAUGCCGCGUGUAUGAAGAAGGCCUUAGGGUUGUAAAGUACUUUCAGCGGGGAGGCGUUACCCGCAGAAGAAGCACCGGCUAACUCCGUGCCAGCAGCCGCGGUAAUUC